rnacentral:rRNA from 1 species
CCUACGGGUGGCAGCAGUGGGGAAUAUUGCACAAUGGGCGCAAGCCCGAUGCAGCCAUGCCGCGUGUAUGAAGAAGGCCUUAGGGUUGUAAAGUACUUUCAGUUAGGAGGAAGGCGUUGAUACUAAUAUCAUCAACGAUUGACGUUACCAACAGAAGAAGCACCGGCUAACUCCGUGCCAGCAGCCGCGGUAAUACGGAGGGUGCAAGCGUUAAUCGGAAUUACUGGGCGUAAAGCGCACGCAGGCGGUUGAUUAAGUUAGAUGUGAAAUCCCCGGGCUUAACCUGGGAAUGGCAUCUAAGACUGGUCAGCUAGAGUCUUGUAGAGGGGGGUAGAAUUCCAUGUGUAGCGGUGAAAUGCGUAGAGAUGUGGAGGAAUACCGGUGGCGAAGGCGGCCCCCUGGACAAAGACUGACGCUCAGGUGCGAAAGCGUGGGGAGCAAACAGGAUUAGUACCCCCGUAGUC